rnacentral:misc_RNA from 1 species
UUUCCGUAGGUGAACCUGCGGAAGGAUCAUUGUUGUAUAACCGAGGUGCGAGGGCUGUCGCUGACCCGAAAGGUCGUGCACGCCUGAGUGCCCUCACACACAUCCAUCUCACCCCUAUGUGCACCACCGCGUGGGUCCCCCUUUGGCUUGUUCGGAGGGGGGCUUACGUUUUCACACAAACUUUGUAUGCAGUGUAGAAUGUAUUUUUUGUUUUUGCGAUCACGCAAUCAAUACAACUUUCAACAACGGAUCUCUUGGCUCUC